AGAGUUUGAUCCUGGCUCAGAUUGAACGCUGGCGGCAUGCCUUACACAUGCAAGUCGAACGGCAGCACGGGAGCAAUCCUGGUGGCGAGUGGCGAACGGGUGAGUAAUACAUCGGAACGUGCCCUGUCGUGGGGGAUAACUAGUCGAAAGAUUAGCUAAUACCGCAUACGACCUGAGGGUGAAAGCGGGGGACCGUAAGGCCUCGCGCGAUAGGAGCGGCCGAUGUCUGACUAGCUAGUUGGUGGGGUAAAGGCCCACCAAGGCGACGAUCAGUAGCUGGUCUGAGAGGACGAUCAGCCACACUGGGACUGAGACACGGCCCAGACUCCUACGGGAGGCAGCAGUGGGGAAUUUUGGACAAUGGGGGCAACCCUGAUCUAGCAAUGCCGCGUGUGUGAAGAAGGCCUUCGGGUUGUAAAGCACUUUUGUCCGGAAAGAAAUCCCUUGCCCUAAUACGGCGGGGGGAUGACGGUACCGGAAGAAUAAGCACCGGCUAACUACGUGCCAGCAGCCGCGGUAAUACGUAGGGUGCGAGCGUUAAUCGGAAUUACUGGGCGUAAAGCGUGCGCAGGCGGUUUUGUAAGACAGGCGUGAAAUCCCCGAGCUCAACUUGGGAAUGGCGCUUGUGACUGCAAGGCUAGAGUAUGUCAGAGGGGGGGUAGAAUUCCACGUGUAGCAGUGAAAUGCGUAGAGAUGUGGGAGGAAUACCGA
rnacentral:rRNA from 1 species